rnacentral:rRNA from 1 species
AAUUAACGCUGGCGGCAUGCCUAACACAUGCAAGUCGCACGAGAAAGCCCGGUUCGCCGGGCGAGUAAAGUGGCGCACGGGUGAGUAACGCGUGGGUAAUCUACCUCGGUCUGGGGGAUAACACACCGAAAGGUGUGCUAAUACCGCAUAACCCGGCGGGUCUUGGGACCUGUCGGCAAAGGUGGCCUCUCCUUGGAAGCUAUCGGAUAGAGAUGAGCCCGCGUCCCAUUAGCUAGUUGGUAGGGUAACGGCCUACCAAGGCGACGAUGGGUAGCUGGUCUGAGAGGACGACCAGCCACACUGGAACUGGUACACGGUCCAGACUCCUACGGGUGGCUG